UACAGCGGAGCCUAAGGAGGUCAGCGAGCGCCCUGUGAAACACAGGACAGACGUGGUCUCGUGACGAAAGCUAACCUACAUUUGGGGUUUUGCAUUUCCAGAGUCAGACAGGCUGAACUUCUCCAUGGGGUUGACGACGAACAGCUUGUCUUUGUCUGUCACCGCCGGCAUCGGGAUGUUAUAAAGGGGAUGCUCAAACAGC